UACGAAGGGGGCUAGCGUUGCUCGGAAUCACUGGGCGUAAAGGGUGCGUAGGCGGGUCUUUAAGUCAGGGGUGAAAUCCUGGAGCUCAACUCCAGAACUGCCUUUGAUACUGAAGAUCUUGAGUUCGGGAGAGGUGAGUGGAACUGCGAGUGUAGAGGUGAAAAUUCGUAGAUAUUAGGAAGAACACCAGUGGCGAAAGGCGGCUCACUGGCCCGGUACUGACGCUGAGGGCGCGAAAAGCGUGGGGGAGCAAACAGG
rnacentral:rRNA from 1 species